CCUACGGGAGGCAGCAGUGAGGAAUAUUGGUCAAUGGGCGAGAGCCUGAACCAGCCAAGUCGCGUGAGGGAUUACGGUCCUAUGGAUUGUAAACCUCUUUUGUCGGGGAACAAAGGCGUCCACGUGUGGACUGAUGAGUGUACCCGAAGAAAAAGCAUCGGCUAAAUCCGUGCCAGCAGACGCGGUAAUACGGAGGAUGCGAGCGUUAACCGGAUUUAUUGGGGUUAAAGGGUGCGUAGGCGGACAGUCAAGUCAGCGGUAAAAAUGCGGUGCUCAACGCCGUACAGCCGUUGAAACUGGGAGUCUUGAGUGGGCGAGAAGUAGGCGGAAUGCGUGGUGUAGCGGUGAAAUGCAUAGAUAUCACGCAGAACUCCGAUUGCGAAGGCAGCCUACCGGCGCCCUACUGACGCUGAGGCACGAAAGCGUGGGUAUCGAACAGGAUUAGAUACCCGUGUAGUC
rnacentral:rRNA from 1 species